rnacentral:rRNA from 1 species
AUUGAACGCUGGCGGCAGGCCUAACACAUGCAAGUCGAGCGGCAGCGGGAAAGUAGCUUGCUACUUUUGCCGGCGAGCGGCGGACGGGUGAGUAAUGCCUGGGAAAUUGCCCAGUCGAGGGGGAUAACAGUUGGAAACGACUGCUAAUACCGCAUACGCCCCACGGGGGAAAGCAGGGGACCUUCGGGCCUUGCACGAUUGGAUAUGCCCAGGUGGGAUUAGCUAGUUGGUGAGGUAAUGGCUCACCAAGGCGACGGUCCCUAGCUGGUCUGAGAGGAUGAUCAGCCACACUGGAACUGAGACACGGUCCAGACUCCUACGGGAGGCAGCAGUGGGGAAUAUUGCACAAUGGGGGAAACCCUGAUGCAGCCAUGCCGCGUGUGUGAAGAAGGCCUUCGGGUUGUAAAGCACUUUCAGCGAGGAGGAAAGGUUGAUGCCUAAUACGUAUCAACUGUGACGUUACUCGCAGAAGAAGCACCGGCUAACUCCGUGCCAGCCGCCGCAGUAACAC